rnacentral:lncRNA from 1 species
UUUUUCUGGUGGGUUCCAUAAUCUAAUAGUGCCAUCUGCUGAGCAAGAUAGUAAGUGAUUCUUUACACCACUGUAAGCAAGACCCCAGACUGCAUCUGUGUGAGCAACUAGUGUGCCAGCUAGAACGUUUGGCUCAUAGGUGUCAUAUGGGUCCACGUUAGGGCUUGGCAUGUUCCACCAUUGGAUGGUUGCAUCAAUACCACCACUGAAACAUUGUUCUCCAUUAGAACUAAUUGCCAAUGACAAUACAGGUCCAAUGUGGGCCCUAAAUGUGUAGAUGGGUUCUACAUCUAAAGAGGCACUCUUUUUGGCAGGAACCGUUUUCUGCAAAUUCCAGAGUUUUAGAGUAUGGUCCUCAGAGGCUGUAACCAGCACAGGCUCUACAGGAUGAAAAGCUAAUGCCCGCACUCCAUCAAAAUGACUGCGUAGCGUAUACUUAGGGUUCCAUGUCUUUCGGAAGGCAUCUUUAUUAGCUGGCAGAUCAUAACUAUAGUCUGCAUCAUUUGUUACUGUCAAGUCUGCAAGGUCUCCAAGGCCCAGUACACUUAACAAAACAUCAUCAGAACCCAUAAUAAAUGACUUGCCUCCUCCAGAUGGAAACGUUAUUGGCUCAGCCCACUCUGUUCCAUCUCCAGAACUUCGGGCUUCUCCAGCUCCCUCACCAUCUUCAGCUGUCACUAAAAAAUCAAAUUCUUUCAAGGCUUCUUCAGUAUCAGGAUCAUCUGUAAGGUCAGCAGCUAAACCUUCAUUACCAAUUUUGUGUUUCUUAUUUAUCCGGUGCUUCUCUUUUCCUUCUGCAAUAUCUUCUAUCAUGUCACUCUCUUCUUCUUCAUCACUAUCAUCCGCAUUUUCUAAGAAGUUAAAUGUUUCAAGAACAUCACCAGAGUUCCUUUUGAUUUCCUGUCCCUUUUGUUUUGAUGAAGGAGAUUCGCCCCCAUUGAGGAUCUGUUCUAA